UACGAAGGGGGCUAGCGUUGUUCGGAAUUACUGGGCGUAAAGCGUGCGCAGGCGGCUUCUCAAGUCAGGGGUGAAAGCCCAGAGCUCAACUCUGGAAUUGCCUUUGAGACUGAGUGGCUUGAGUACGGGAGAGGUGAGUGGAAUUCCCAGUGUAGAGGUGAAAUUCGUAGAUAUUGGGAAGAACACCGGUGGCGAAGGCGGCCCGCUGGGCAGUGGCUGACGCUGAGGCGCGACAGCGUGGGGAGCAAACAGG
rnacentral:rRNA from 1 species